GAAUACAUUUUUAAAAUUUUAAUGGUCUUGUAAUGUUAUAUAGUUAUCUAUUUUAAAUUUCUGUUAAGUUUUAUUUGAUGUUUUCCAUGCAGGUAAUAUAAACAUAGAACAGAGUAUUAACACUAUAAAGUGAGAUCCAAAUGAAUACUACAAUAUUAGUCGAUGUAUUAUUGGUGUUGCUGUUGACGGGAAGAACUGUCAUGGCAUUGACGUGGAAUGUAGUGAACGAUCCUUUAAUAUUUGGGGGAAACGUUAUAUUAAAGUGUCAUGUCGACAAAAAAGAUUGCAAUGUUUCAAGAACAGAACCUGAUACACGACAGUGGACCGGUGGGCAACAUUACCAGUUACUUGUCUGGAAAGGAGGCUCUAAAACUUCAAAAUAUAAAAUGAUUACAGGAAAUGCAAGUCCAGACUUUGAUUUAUUGAUACGACAUUUUAAUGAAUCUGAUCUAGGCUACGAAUACACUUGUCAUUGUGGAUUUGCAGUGCACACUAAAACACUAUCUGUCGAACAGAAUAAGUUGAUUUCUUUUCCAACUAGAACGACAACGGACACCAUUGCUACCGCCAGUGGAAACCAGCUACAUAUAGAAGUAUCACUUGAGAAAGUAAAUCCAGUACCAAACUGCACAACGUUGUUUAAGGAGAAAGUUAUAGGUGAAGCAAACGUUACCAAGCUGCAAUCUUAUGGAUAUUUUACAGACGUGAAUAUGUCCUUUACUUUCCCACUGCAGGAGGUUGGUUGCAGUGGUAGUCUGCAAAUUGUUUGCUCCUUAUUAUCUUAUAAUUUUACCGUUUACGAUGAAAACAUACAAACGUGUCAUGCAUACGACUCAUCUUUUCAUUGGCAUAUUAUACUGGUCACAGCAUGUUCCGUCCUUUUGUUGGCAAUGUUCUGCAUUGUAUACAUCAUUAAACGAAGACAUAGUAAUAACGAUCUAUACGUUUUCAUAUCUACAAACACAUGAUGAAAGCUGAAAUGCUAAAGAAGAGAAAAACCAUCCAAAAUGUUCUAAUUGAGAAUAUGAAAGAAUAUACAUGUACAUUAUAUCAGCAUAUUAAAAGAUGUUCAUUAGCUAUUUUGCAUUUGUGUUUCACUGGUUGUUUUUACUGUUACUUCUAAAAGCUUGUGGUUGUAAUUGUCGCUGUUGUUGUCAUUUUUCGUUUCUUAUCAAAUUUUACUAAAUUAUGAUAGUGACAACAGCAAAAAUCAGGGACAUGAAAUGUCAUUUAUUGCUAUAUUGAUAUCAAUUCAAAUUAAACUGAAUCUUGCAUGAAUAUUGUAAGUUAUCGUGCUUCUCAGUGCCUAUUUUACCCUGCUCAGUCGCUCCGCAAUUCUUGCAACACGGCUUGUAGACUUUUAAACUUAUCAACGAAGUCAAAAUGUCUGCGGAAAAUAUAAUAGUGAUGUCACAAUGUUUGAGAAGACUUAAUCAAGCUUAAUUUUUUGUCUAGUUUAAAUCAGACUACGAGAGAGGAAAAAGAAGACAAAAAGCACGAUAAACAGGUUAUUUGGUAUUCUGUGUAUAGAUAUUGGAAAAUAUCAGCCUCUUGUUAUCAUGACAAAGUAACGCUCUGCAAAAAGGUUCAUAUUAUGGCUCACGGCUGAUAUUCUACGAAAUCAAUGUGUAGAAAACCUGACUAUGUAAACAUAUACAAAAUGACAAUUAAAAAGCUGUAAGCAGUUGGUUAAAUUUGGUAAAAUAGAGAUGGGUAGCCUUGUACAGAUGUGUGCCAAGUUUUGAUAUUAAAAGAAGAAAAAUCAACAAUAACAA